GGGCCGGUAGCUUAGCUUGGUGGAGCGCUGGUCUUAUAAGCCAGUGGUCGUGGGUUCAAAAUCGAAGCUGCGCACUGCGUUGUUUUGAUGAGAUUCCCACCCGGCCCA
rnacentral:tRNA from 1 species